rnacentral:misc_RNA from 1 species
CGCAGAGCUACGUAUCUGUAAGAACGCUAAACGCAUACGAAACGAAGACAUCUCUCCGGAACGGUUGCCGAGCGAAAUUCAUAUAUAUUUACAUUUAGAUUAUUUAUUACUGGACGGGCGUUGGAUAAAGAAACACGAAUUUUUGUGCCAUCGUUCGUCGUUUUAAGAUAAUAAAAUAAAAUAAAGAACAUUUUGAUAACUUUUGGAUUGUAUAGUACAGAAAGAGUUGUUUCAUCUCUUAGCUUUAUAAUCAAGGAUUCAAAGGCGUUCGAGUGAAGAAUAGAAUAAGAGACGCCAGAGGCAUUUUAGAAUUUGACGCCUCAGAGAGUUCCGACUUUUCCUUUGUCAAAAUAUUCUCAUAUAGUGUAAGAUAAGUUGACAAGUUUUGUUCAGUUUUGUUUAGAACAGAAUAGUUCUUUAGCUCCGGCUUCCAAAAUGAUUUGUAGUCAUUUUUUUUUCAACAAAAUUCAAUUGUUUUGACGAGUUCAAAGGAACCAAUCAAAAUAUUUACAAAAUAUCUAUUAAAAGUAGUAUUCUAUUCUUUAAUUAUUUAUACUAAUAAAGUAUUUUUAUUCAAUUUUUAUAUACAAAAACAUAAAAUAAACUGUAAACUAAAAAAGCAUAAAAAAGAGUAAAUAUAGUUAUUAAAAACGGUGCAAACUAAUCUCUAAUUAAGUGACAAGCAAUCUUUAAGUAUUCUAUUUGAAAUAAAGAAAUACUAUUAAUGAUAAUAGGAAGCCCUCAGGGAUAAUUUGAAGUGCCCUUCGACAAAUAAGUCAGAAUAGGAGGUUCUUUCUCUUCUCUUCGAAAUUAGUUUUAUUAGUCUUAAUUAUAUUUUUAUUUUUUUGAGCAAAACUGUAGUUUUAACAUUUCUGCGUAGAAAAAGAGAAAAAAAAAACCAAUUAAAAAAUCUAUUCGAAUAAGAGAGUAGGAAGUGAAAUGACAAGAGGUAGUAUCAGGAAGGAAGAUAGUAAGGGAGAGGAGAUAGUGUGAGUCGUCGUGUAGUGAUGCGUUGAACAAGUAAAAAGCCUUUUUUGUUAUAUUUAUAUCUAAUUUUUUUACGUAUUGUUUGGAAACAGGCUAUAGAAAAAAGGAUACAGCUACAUUUUUCCAGUUAUAUAUCAGAAUACACGAUUAUUAUGCAAACUUCGACUGAAUCCGUCGAACGAUCAUCAAUAAAUCUCAUCAUCCCCAUAUCGACUCAGACAACUGGCACUAAUCGACGGGAGGAAGAGCCAAGCGCCCUCUACAGUCCCGCUGUCCCAAAUUUAAUUAUACUAACCGUAGUCCUUCUCUCGGUUCUCUUAGCUGUUGCUAUAGGCCUGAUUCGGCGAAGAUUAAAGAAGUUUAAGACAGAAAUCGACUCGUCCUUUCUAGAUCGAUACCGGCAUAUUUACGAACCAUUGGCUGCUGGACCGGCCGAUGAAUAUGAUAAUACUUUCGUGGGUGUAUCCGUUCCACUGUUACAAGAUAAUACAAAGAUUUAAUAUCUAAUUUAUAAAGGACAACUACAGACAUGUAAUGAAGGAGGAGAUAUAUUUAUAUAUUCCAGUAUAUACUGUAUAAACUAUAUUUUUAUCUUACACAAUUGAAAAACAUCUUUGUACUGUGUUCUUUUUUCUAAGAAAGUAUGAAUUUAAAUCAAAUUUUUUCCAUAUUUCAUGGUCCAAACUGUUUCUUAAAAUACGUACACUCUGGCUAAUUGCAAAAAACGCACAGAAACCAGGAGGGAGAAGAAGUGAGAGAGAGAGAGAGAGAGAGAGAGAGAGAGAAAGAGAAGGAACAAAAACUGAGAAGAAGCAUUUGUUAUGUAACAGAUUUUUGCUUUGGAAAUGAAAAAUUUAUUGAAUAAAAGAAAACAAUAAAAAACUAAUACUGAAAGGUAAAUAAUCACCAUAAGUUGAAUAAUAAAUAUUAAUUGGCGAAAUUA